AGUCAUGUUCCUUUGCACUCUUCUAUCAACAGGUCCAACCACGGUCAGUGCAUAGAUCUACCUGCAUUCCAGGAUGUUGGAAAACUACCGAGAGACAGCACCGUCCUCCCAGCUGCUUGGUGAGAAAGGAAGGAUGCACCUUCAGUUCAAAUACUGGGCUUGGUGACCCACCUUCCAGGAUCCUUGAUGCUGUGUCCAGCGUGCCUCCCAGCCCCUACAGACAACUAAGCAACAUUGAUGACUUCAGCAGGAACCAGCAGCAACACGCAGGCCCGAAGGUAAACCAAGUGACGUGGCUUGGACAGCCA